UGCUUUAGUCCUUAAAUAAGAAGCAACAAGUUAACAUCAGCUCAAAUUCAUUCGACUUGCGAGAGAUAUACACUACAAUACAGCAACAAGUUUCUUGUUUCUUAGAUAACCAAACGCAGUUUGAAAAGAAAAAUAAUACAAAAAAAAAAGAAGUUAAUAUAAAACGAAAAGUGUCGGUGUGCAGUACACGAGAGAAAAUAAAUAAAUAAAUGAAUGAAUGAAUGCAUGGAAAAAAGUAAAUAAAUGCAAAAUAUUGAGCAGUAUUCGUCGCAGCAACAACAUAAACAACAAUAAUAACCAGCAACCGGCUUCUGAGUUGCUAAAUUAAACAAAUAUUGAUGAACUGAUUUGUGGCAAAAGUUACUUAAUAAAUACAAUAAAAUUUUUUAAAAUAUCAAUAUUUGCCCGAAAGCAAAUAAACAGAAGAAGAUAAAAUACAAAAGAAGUAAGCAGUAAAAAAGAAUUUAAAUCUAAAUUCUGCUAACCAAAAAGAAAAUAAGAUAUAUUAUAUAACAGUGAAAACAGUGCAUAAAAGAAAAGGGCUUGUACGUACUUAAACGAGCUCUGAAAGCAAAAUAAAUUUGCUUCAAACAAAAACAAACAAAAAAUCAAAAACCAACAAGAACCACUUUUCCUAUAAACAGCAAAAGGCAUUGUACAUACUUGAACUGAAUAUCAAUGAAGUUCUCAAUAAAUAUGUGUUCCCGCAACAUUAAGAUCUCGGUGGUGCUGUUUCUUGUCUUGAUUCCACUUAUCACAGCCUUGCCACACAACAAUCACAAUUUGUCAAAGCGAAGCAAUUUCUUCGACUUAGAGUGCAAAGGAAUUUUCAACAAAACCAUGUUCUUCCGCUUGGAUCGCAUUUGCGAAGACUGUUAUCAACUCUUCCGCGAGACGAGUAUACACCGACUAUGCAAGAAAAACUGCUUCGAUUCGAAAUGGUUUGGAGAAUGCUUAAAAGUGCUAUUAAUACCAUCGGAAGAGAUUUCGAAGUUACAGCACUUUAUCAAAGUUAUUAAUGGUUCUCCAAUAUCAUUCCCACAGUCGGUCCCAACAUAACUUUAGUUUACAUAGAUGCAAAACUCUCCAAUUUCCAAUUAAUUUGUACUUAUUUAUUAUUCUAUUUUACGAUUGUUUUUAAUUUUUGUUUUCUCUUUUGCGUUUUUAAUUAUAUUUAAUUAUUUUUUAUGCUUAAUAUAUGCUUAAUUUAUUUUAAAGUAACAAUCAGAAUCUUAAAAGCUAAUUAAAAUAAACAAAAGCAUGCACACACAUGCAAUUCAAAAAAAAAAAGAAUGAAAUUCAAAAUAUGUAUAAUCUUAUUUAUUUUAUAAGUAAUUGUACUUUAUACAAAAAGAGAGUUAAGGAAAAUUUUAAUAAGAAAUUGUAAACUAUCAACUCAAGUUUUGAGCGUGCAGAAGUCGAGCAUUAAUUGCUAAGGUUAAAAGCGAAAUAGCGAUAGCAAAAUAUUUACAUUAAUUAAUACAUAUAUAUAUGUGGACGUGUACUAAUGAGAUAGAGCGAGAUCGAUAGCUAUACGAUUGGUGAGCUUGUGUGCAAGAGACUAAAAGGAAAUAGCGAAAGUGAAAUGCAAUGCGACAGUUAGAAAUCGCGUCAAUUGCAAAACGUUAAGUAACACAUUUCUACAUACAUACAAACUUGCACCAAUAAAAAGUGGCAAACAUACCGUUAUAGCAAAAUAAUGCAGAUUAUGAUGGAAAUUCGUGAAACAUAAGGGAACACAUAUUUUGCUUUAUCCUAUUCCAAACAUAUUCAACAUCACUUAAGCAGGAACAAUCAUAAAACACGUCUCGGGAAAAUUUACAUUUAAAUAAAAGUAUUGAUUUUUGUAUUAAUGAUAUUUUUCCAUUUUUAUAGGCAAAAAAUCCCCAAGAACAACUUUGUGCUUUUUUUAAUUCAGUUUCACUCAUACACGCAAAAAAUUAGAAACUAUAUUGCAGUAAAUGCUAAGUAUUUUUCCAUUAACAAUUUAAAUUUAAAAAAAAUUAAUAACUAAAUUUUUUAGCAAAUGAAAAUAUUUCUUUAUAAAAUUGCAAUUUGUGAAAAACACACUAAAAUCCAUUUACAAUAAAAAAACACACCCACAUUUUUACAAAAAUAUACACACUUUAAAUACUGUAAUUAGACCAACACACUCAUCCAUGCAUACAUAUACAUAUAUGUAAUAUAAUGCGUAAGUACAUAUGUAUGUAUGUAUGCACAUUUUAAAUGUAAUAAGACAGUUAGAGCACUUUUAAGAGUUUCUAAACUUUUUUUUAUAAAAAUAUAUGCUAGGAUUAUAUACAAAAACUAUGUACUAAAUAUUUAAAAACAAAAAAAAAAUGUGAAAAAAAAUUCGAAAUAUUUUAAAAUCAAAAAAAGAUGGCAUCAAGUUAUGGUAAAGAAUCGCAUACACACAUAUGCACAUAUACAUACACUGUUGGGUACAUGUGUGAAUGUCGAAGAAAUUUGUUAGCAAAUAUUUACUGAAAUUAUUGUGAUAAAGUAGUAGAACGACAAGCAAGAAUAAAUAUGUAGUAGGAAGAUGAUGUAAAAAAGAUAAUAAACGCAACAACACACCGCUAAGCAAGCAAUUGAAAAAACCAAGCAUCUGACAGCCGACAUUUGCAUCAUUGAAGACGAUAGGAAAGCGGAAGCAGCUGUCACAAAUUGAUAAAGCCAACAGUACUGCGCUAAAUUCUAUAUACAUACAUAACUAUUCGCAGAAGAUGCAUUACAACAGCAAAGGAAUGGCAUUAACUGAAUGUAAAGCAUAGCAGAUCAACAUGUCUAUGUACAUUGUUAACAGCGCGCUGCAGGCCUUUGAACUGUUAAGACCUGUGUAAUACACACAAACCACAACUACUUGUACCAGUGCAAUAACAACAAUGUUGAACUUUUGAUUUUUCGGCAAGAGUGCUUCGGUUCGGCCUUCUUCAGCGCUUGCGUCGAAGCUCUUCAACUGCACGAAGAGAUGGACAAAUACAAUGAAUGGCGCGGCACUCUCGGCAAGAAGUAAAGC